rnacentral:rRNA from 1 species
GACGAACGCUGGCGGCGUGCCUAAUACAUGCAAGUCGAGCGAAGCGGCGGAUGGGUGAGUAACGCGUGAGUAACCUGCCCUUACGUCUGGGAUACGAGUUAGAAACAGAUGCUAAUACCGGAUAAUAAAGGAUGGAUCUGCGAUGCAUUAGCUAGUUGUGAAGGUAACGGCUUACCAAGGCGAUGAUGCAUAGCCGGGUUUAGAGAUUGAGCAGCCACAUUGGGACUGAGACACGGGCCAAACUCCUACGGGAGGCAGCAGUAGGGAAUAUUCCACAAUGGGCGAAAGUCUGAUGGAGCAACGCCGCGUGGGUGAAGAAGGUUUUCGGAUUGUAAAGUUCUGUUGUUGGUGAAGCGUUAAUCAACCAGAAAGACACGGCUAACUACGUGCCAGCAGCCGCGGUAAUUC